GACGAACGCUGGCGGCGUGCCUAAUACAUGCAAGUAGAACGCUGAAGGAGGAGCUUGCUUCUCCGGAUGAGUUGCGAACGGGUGAGUAACGCGUAGGUAACCUGCCUGGUAGCGGGGGAUAACUAUUGGAAACGAUAGCUAAUACCGCAUAACAGUAGAUAUUGCAUGAUAUCUGCUUGAAAGGUGCAAUUGCAUCACUACCAGAUGGACCUGCGUUGUAUUAGCUAGUUGGUGGGGUAACGGCUCACCAAGGCGACGAUACAUAGCCGACCUGAGAGGGUGAUCGGCCACACUGGGACUGAGACACGGCCCAGACUCCUACGGGAGGCAGCAGUAGGGAAUCUUCGGCAAUGGACGGAAGUCUGACCGAGCAACGCCGCGUGAGUGAAGAAGGUUUUCGGAUCGUAAAGCUCUGUUGUAAGAGAAGAACGAGUGUGAGAGUGGAAAGUUCACACUGUGACGGUAUCUUACCAGAAAGGGACGGCUAACUACGUGCCAGCAGCCGCGGUAAUACGUAGGUCCCGAGCGUUGUCCGGAUUUAUUGGGCGUAAAGCGAGCGCAGGCGGUUAGAUAAGUCUGAAGUUAAAGGCUGUGGCUUAACCAUAGUACGCUUUGGAAACUGUUUAACUUGAGUGCAAGAGGGGAGAGUGGAAUUCCAUGUGUAGCGGUGAAAUGCGUAGAUAUAUGGAGGAACACCGGUGGCGAAAGCGGCUCUCUGGCUUGUAACUGACGCUGAGGCUCGAAAGCGUGGGGAGCAAACAGG
rnacentral:rRNA from 1 species